AGCAGUCGCCGCGGUAAAACGUAGGUGGCAAGCGUUGUCCGGAAUUAUUGGGCGUAAAUGGCUCGCAGGCGGUUUCUUAAGUCUGAUGUGAAAGCCCCCGGCUCAACCGGGGAGGGUCAUUGGAAACUGGGAAACUUGAGUGCAGAAGAGGAGAGUGGAAUUCCACGUGUAGCGGUGAAAUGCGUAGAGAUGUGGAGGAACACCAGUGGCGAAGGCGACUCUCUGGUCUGUAACUGACGCUGAGGAGCGAAAGCGUGGGGAGCGAACAGGAUUAGAUACCCCAGUAGUCCCUGUCUCUUAUAC
rnacentral:rRNA from 1 species